rnacentral:rRNA from 1 species
CCUACGGGAGGCAGCAGUAGGGAAUCUUCCACAAUGGACGAAAGUCUGAUGGAGCAACGCCGCGUGAACGAUGAAGGCUUUCGGGUCGUAAAGUUCUGUUGUAAGGGAAGAACAAGUGCCGCAGGCAAUGGCGGCACCUUGACGGUACCUUGCGAGAAAGCCACGGCUAACUACGUGCCAGCAGCCGCGGUAAUACGUAGGUGGCAAGCGUUGUCCGGAAUUAUUGGGCGUAAAGCGCGCGCAGGCGGCCUCUUAAGUCUGAUGUGAAAGCCCCCGGCUCAACCGGGGAGGGCCAUUGGAAACUGGGAGGCUUGAGUAUAGGAGAGAAGAGUGGAAUUCCACGUGUAGCGGUGAAAUGCGUAGAGAUGUGGAGGAACACCAGUGGCGAAAGCGAC